rnacentral:rRNA from 1 species
GAUUAGAGUUUGAUCAUGGCUCAGGACGAACGCUGGCGGCACGCUUAACACAUGCAAGUCGAACGCGAACCUCGGAGCUUGCUCCGGGGCGAAAGUGGCGAACGGGUGAGUAACACGUGAGGAACCUGCCCCGAAGACUGGGAUAACACCGGGAAACCGGUGCUAAUACCGGAUGUCCUCACCGGACCGCAUGAUCUGGUGAGGAAAUGGAUUCCGCUUCGGGAUGGCCUCGCGGCCUAUCAGCUUGUUGGUGGGGUAACGGCCCACCAAGGCUUCGACGGGUAGCUGGUCUGAGAGGAUGUCCAGCCACACUGGGACUGAGACACGGCCCAGACUCCUACGGGAGGCAGCAGUGGGGAAUCUUGCGCAAUGGGCGAAAGCCUGACGCAGCGAUGCCGCGUGCGGGAUGAAGGCCUUCGGGUUGUAAACCGCUUUCAGCAGGGACGAAAUUGACGGUACCUGCAGAAGAAGCCCCGGCCAACUACGUGCCAGCAGCCGCGGUAAUACGUAGGGGGCGAGCGUUGUCCGGAUUUAUUGGGCGUAAAGAGCUCGUAGGCGGUUCGGCAAGUCGGAUGUGAAAUCUCCACGCUCAACGUGGAGAGGCCAUUCGAUACUGCCGUGACUCGAGUCCGGUAGGGGAGUGUGGAAUUCCCGGUGUAGCGGUGAAAUGCGCAGAGAUCGGGAGGAACACCCGUAGCGANNCGGCACUCUGGGCCGGUACUGACGCUGAGGAGCGAAAGCGUGGGGAGC